AGUGAACGCUGGCGGUAGGCCUAACACAUGCAAGUCGAACGGCAGCACAGUAAGAGCUUGCUCUUACGGGUGGCGAGUGGCGGACGGGUGAGGAAUACAUCGGAAUCUACUUUUUCGUGGGGGAUAACGUAGGGAAACUUACGCUAAUACCGCAUACGACCUACGGGUGAAAGCAGGGGAUCUUAGGAACUUGCGCGAUUGAAUGAGCCGAUAUGGGAUUAGCUAGUUGGCGGGGUAAAAGCCCACCAAGGAGACGAUCCGUAGCUGGUCUGAGAGGAAGAACAGCAGAAAGGGAAAGGAGACGAGGGCCAAACCCCCGAGGGAGGCAGGAGGGGGAAAUAUAGGAAAAGGGGGGGAAGCCUGCUCCACCCAAAACGGGGGGGAGAAGAAGGCCUGCGGGUUGUAAGGCCCUUUUGUGGGGAAAGAAAAACAACAGGUUAAUCCCCAGCUGUUCUGACGGUACCCAAAAAAAAAAAACCGGCUAACUGCAU
rnacentral:rRNA from 1 species